rnacentral:rRNA from 1 species
ACCCGCUGAACUUAAGCAUAUCAAUAAGCGGAGGAAAAGAAACCCAACAGGGAUUGCCCUAGUAACGGCGAGUGAAGCGGCAACAGCUCAAAUUUGAAAUCUGGCCUCGGCCCGAGUUGUAAUUUGCAGAGGAUGAUUUUGGCGCGGUGCCUUCCGAGUUCCCUGGAACGGGACGCCACAGAGGGUGAGAGCCCCGUAUGGUCGGACACCAAGCCUUUGUAAAUCUCCUUCGACGAGUCGAGUAGUUUGGGAAUGCUGCUCAAAAUGGGAGGUAAAUCUCUUCUAAAGCUAAAUAUUGGCCAGAGACCGAUAGCGCACAAGUAGAGUGAUCGAAAGAUGAAAAGCACCUUGAAAAGGGGGUUAAACAGUACGUGAAAUUGUUGAAAGGGAAGGGCUCGUGACCAGACUUGUGCCAGGCGGCUCAUCCGGCGUUCUCGCCGGUGCACUCCGCCUGGCUCAGGCCAGCAUCGGUUCUUGCCGGGGGAUAAGAGCUUCGGGAACGUGGCCCCCUUCGGGGGGUGUUAUAGCCCGUUGCACGAUGCCCUGGCGGGGACCGAGGUUCGCGCUCCGCAAGGAUGCUGGCGUAAUGGUCACCAACCACCCGUCUUGAAACACGGACCAAGGAGUCGUCCAUCAGAGCGAGCGUUUGGGUGUAAAACCCGCACGCGUAAUGAAAGUGAACGCAGGUGAGAGCUUCGGCGCAUCAUCGACCGAUCCUGAUGUAUUCGGAUGGAUUUGAGUAAGAGUUUUGCUGGACGGACCCGAAAGACAGUGAACUAUGCUUGUAUAGGGUGAAGCCAGAGGAAACUCUGGUGGAGGCUCGCAGCGGUUCUGACGUGCAAAUCGAUCGUCAAAUAUGAGCAUGGGGGCGAAAGACUAAUCGAACUGUCUAGUAGCUGGUUACCGCCGAAGUUUCCCUCAGGA